rnacentral:antisense_RNA from 1 species
GGUGUUUGUAAUAACAACUUACUGCGCUCGGUGAUGUCGCCACCAAUAUGAUAUGGCAAGCCGCAGUUGGCAAAUGAGACGAAAGGGCCGCGCUCAAACAUGAUGAUUUCCGCAUCUUCACUAAGACGACGAGCACGUGCAGCUGCAGAUGCACCACCUGCUACACCAC